GGAGGAAAUAGUAGCAGCAGGGUUGUAGGGUUUUGAGGAGGAGGUAGAAGCAGUAGGUUUGGACAGUUGGAGGAGGUAGAAACAGCAGGGUUGGACGGUUGGAGACGGAGGAAGAAGCAGCAGGGUUGGAGGGUUGGAGGAGGAGGUAGAAGCAGCAGGGUUGGACGGUUGGAGGAGGAGGUAGAAGCAGCAGGGUUGGAGGGUUGGAUGAGGAGGUAGAAGCAGCAGGGUUGGAGGGUUGGAGGAGGAGGUAGAAGCAGCAUGGUUGGAGGAGGAGGAGGUAGUAGCAGCAGGGUUAGAGGAGGAGGUAGUAGCAGCAGGCUUGGAUGAGGAGGUAGAAGCAGCAGGGUUGGCAGAUGAGGUAGAAGCAGCAGGGUUGGACGGUUGGAGGAGAAGGUAGUAGCAGCAGGGUUGGAGGAAGAGGUAUUAGCAGCAGGGUUGGAGGAGGAGGUAGAAGCAGCAGGGUUGGACGGUUGGAGGCGGAGGUAGAAGCAGCAGGGUUGGAGGAGGAGGUAGUAGCAGCAGGGUUGGAGGGUUGGAGGAGGAGGUAGAAGCAGCACGGUUGGAGGAGGUAGUAGCAGCAGGGUUAGAGGAGGAGGUAGAAGCGGUAGGGUUGGAGGAGGAGGUAGAAGCAGCAGGGUUGGACGGUUGGAGGAGAAGGUAGUAGCAGCAGGGUUGAAGGAGGAGGUAGUAGCAGCAGGGUUGAAGGAGGAGGUAGUAGCAGCAGGGUUGGAGGGUUGGAUGAGGAGGUAGAAGCAGGAUGGUUGGAUGAGGAGGUAGUAGCAGCAGGGUUGAAGGAGGAGGUAGAAGCAGCAGAGUUGGAGAAGGAGGUAGUAGUGGCAGGGUUGGACGGUUGGAGGAGGAGGUAGUAGCAGCAGGGUUGGACCGUUGGAGGAGGUAGAAGCAGCAGGGUUGGAGGGUUGGAGGAGGUAGAAGCAGCAGGGUUGGACGGUUGGAGGAGGAGGUAGAAGCAGCAGGGUUGGACCGUUGGAGGAGGUAGAAGCAGCAGGUUUGGAGGAGGAGGUAGAAGCAGCAGGG
rnacentral:lncRNA from 1 species